UACGUAGGGUGCGAGCGUUAAUCGGAAUUACUGGGCGUAAAGCGUGCGCAGGUGGUCUUAUAAGCCAGACGUGAAAUCCCCGGGCUUAACCUGGGAAUGGCGUUUGGGACUGCAAGGCUAGAGUGCGGCAGAGGGGGGUGGAAUUCCACGUGUAGCAGUGAAAUGCGUAGAUAUGUGGAGGAACACCGAUGGCGAAGGCAGCCCCCUGGGCCCGCACUGACGCUCAUGCACGAAAGCGUGGGGAGCAAACAGG
rnacentral:rRNA from 1 species